CCUACGGGAGGCAGCAGUGGGGAAUUUUGGACAAUGGGCGCAAGCCUGAUCCAGCAAUGCCGCGUGCAGGAUGAAGGCCUUCGGGUUGUAAACUGCUUUUGUACGGAACGAAAAAGUCUGCCCUAAUACGGUGGGCCCAUGACGGUACCGUAAGAAUAAGCACCGGCUAACUACGUGCCAGCAGCCGCGGUAAUACGUAGGGUGCGAGCGUUAAUCGGAAUUACUGGGCGUAAAGCGUGCGCAGGCGGUUAUAUAAGACAGAUGUGAAAUCCCCGGGCUCAACCUGGGACCUGCAUUUGUGACUGUAUAGCUAGAGUACGGUAGAGGGGGAUGGAAUUCCGCGUGUAGCAGUGAAAUGCGUAGAUAUGCGGAGGAACACCGAUGGCGAAGGCAAUCCCCUGGACCUGUACUGACGCUCAUGCACGAAAGCGUGGGGAGCAAACAGGAUUAGAUACCCUGGUAGUCCACGCCCUAAACGAUGUCAACUGGUUGUUGGGUCUUCACUGACUCAGUAACGAAGCUAACGCGUGAAGUUGACCGCCUGGGGAGUACGGCCGCAAGGUUGAAACUCGAAAUGAAUUGACGG
rnacentral:rRNA from 1 species